rnacentral:misc_RNA from 1 species
GGCUUUAAGACUUUCUUUGUUCACAAGAUGGAAGGUGGUUUUAUCCAGCACUGGAUGAAGACUUAUCACAUCGGCUUCUCGAAGCACCUCAUCCAUGGAUGAUGCUCUUCUCCAUGUCACAGGAACCUCACCGUUGGCUUUCAGGAAUUCACCGUAAGCUGUAACGAACUUUUCGAGUCUGGUUGACUGGUAAAGAUCAAAGUAGAUCAGGUUCAUCUUAAACCCCUCUACCAUCAUUCUUGCAUAAGCAGAUCCGAUACGACCAGCUCCAAUCACACCAACAGUCUGUCCUUUCAGCAAGUUUCCAACAAACAAAUUGGGAAGCCAUCCAUCAUAUCGUCCUGCCCUCAUGAACUCAUCAGCUUCAACUAUCCUUCUUGCAGCUGCAAGAGAAAGUGCAGCUGCCAAUUCUGCUGUAGUUUCUGUAAGUACUCCAGGAGUGUUUCCUACAGCAA